rnacentral:lncRNA from 1 species
UCAUCAACAACUCAAGGUUAAAUAACAACUUAUCAACAACGACACAACUUCAACAAUUCAUCAACGACAACGUCAACCUGACAACACAACUACGUGAGAGUACAUCACCUCUUAUAAUACGACAACAUAAGAAUACAUCACCUCUUAAAGAAUAACAACGUAAGAGUACACCACCUCUUAUAAACGACAAGUAAGAGUACACCACCUCUUAAAGAAUAACAACGUAAGAGUACACCAC